rnacentral:rRNA from 1 species
CGUGUAGGUGGCUUGGUAAGUUGGAUGUGAAAGCCCGGGGCCCAACCCCGGAAUUGCAUUCAAAACUCCCAGGCUAGAGUCCCGGAGAGGAUGGCGGAAUUCCCGGUGUAGAGGUGAAAUUCGUAGAUAUCGGGAGGAACACCAGUGGCGAAGGCGGCCAUCUGGACGGUGACUGACACUGAGACGCGAAAGCGUGGGGAGCAAACAGGAUUAGAUACCCUGGUAGUCC